AGGGAGGGAACCGCGGCCCCGCCGACAUCGGCAUUGCCAGCGCCCGGAGGAGGAUACGUUCGGUGGGAUCUUCACCCUCAGCUCGACGCACCUCAGCCUCCUUGUUAUCAGGAACCAUCAAAGCAUGGGUGCAGUUGGCUGGUAUCCUUCAGCUGUUUGGAGGUUAGUUUGCCUCUGAAAUACGCAUUAAUGCCUCAAAAUGGCUCUCAUACUGGAAGGUGGAUUCAUGCCAUAUGCCCAGUGAUUGGAUGUAUUUCACACUGUUUUCAAAUUUAUCAGCAAGAUAGUUCCAAUCACCUGAGAUUGAUGUGCAAACAGAAUGCUGGUAAAGUCCUGUAUCUAUAGGAGACCACGGAGAAGAGCAAUGCCAAGAACUCCUGUCUGUCACCCAGAUCUUCCAGGACAGGUUUUCGUUGUCUUCAUCCCAGUGUCAUGAAGAAGAAUCAGAACUUCCCAAGGCAGUUAAUGCCACUGACAGGUCACUUCUGGGAUUGGUCUUAAACAAGAGCUUUCCCCUGAGUUACAUAAACAGUCCCAGAUACGUUAUGUGUGGCUACACCGUAAUUGCUGGGUAAGCGAAGAAGGAGAAUGAGAAGUUUUUCUCUGGGACAUGGAAAUUUCCCAGCUCUGCAAGAUGAGGAGAGGACUGACUCAUGAGUCACUGCUUUGGUAAAAACCUAGCCUAGUAAAAGAACACUCCUUUAGGAUGGGAAUCACCCCACCUAAGGCUGACAAUCCCUAAAUCUGUGCAGGAUGGCAAGGCUUCUUUUAUAGUCGGUGGAGACAAACGCACGUCUCUAGCAUGCCGCUCCUCCCACCCUCAUGUACACAAAUGUCUAAAAUAGACCAUGAGUCACACGCUACAAAUGCCUGUUUCUUUCCUUUGGUUCAAAAAAGGAAUUUAGACAACAAAUGCCUAACUGUUGAUGUCCAUCCAGUGUUCAGAUGCAUGAAAGCCAGUCUGGCUGGAAGGAUGCCAUUUGCUUAGCUGGGCUAAUUAAAUAUGAAUAUCUCUAAAACAGGACAUAGCAAACAAUGACCAGGCAGGAAUGAAUUGGAUUGAUGAAUAUUGAAGAACUAGAGGCAUCAGACUGUCUGAAUAUGAAUUAUUUUCUUUUCUGUCCUCUUCUUCCUCUCUUUCACAAGAGAUGAACAUUGACUAUGCACAUAAAAAGGACAUGCCCCAAAUCUUGACUGUCUUCUGCAAAUACCCAUAAUUUGGGGAAAAUGAGAUGAUGUAGCCUGAAUACAGCCGUGGGAGAGGUCAUGGAGACGAAAGAAAGCUUUGAACUAAUAUUUAUGCUAAGCAAAGUUAUGUGGGCUUACUCCUUUUACUAGCACUCAUUUUUCUCAUUAAACAUUGCAACUAUG